CUGCCAGUAGUCAUACGCUUGCCUCAAAGGUUAAGCCAUGCAUGUCUAAGUUUAAAUAUUUUACCUUAACACUGCGAAUAGCUCAUUAUAUCAGUUAUAGUUCAUUUGGCAGUCUUUUACUACUUGGAUAACCGUAGUAAUUCUAGAGCUAAUACAUGCAUCAAAGCCCAACUGGGCUGUAUUUAUUAGAUUGAAACCAGUCCUUGCCUUGUGCAAGGUCUCAUGGUGAUUCAUAAUAAACAUUAGCGGAUUGCUGACACUAGUUAGCAACGUACCAUUCAAGUUUCUGCCCUAUCAGCUUUGGACAAUAAGGUAUUGACUUAUUGUGGCUUUAACGGGUAACGGGGAAUUGGGGUUUGAUUCCGGAGAGGGGGCCUGAGAGAUGGCCACCACAUCCAAGGAAGGCAGCAGGCGCGUAAAUUACCCAAUACUAACACAGUGAGGUAGUGACAAUAAAUAACAAUGCCGGGCCUUUGAUGGUUUGGCAAUUGGAAUGAGAACAAUUUAAAUCCCUUAUCAAGGAUCAAUUGGAGGGCAAGUCUGGUGCCAGCAGCCGCGGUAAUUCCAGCUCCAAUAGCGUAUAUUAAAUUUGUUGCAGUUAAAAAGCUCGUAGUUGAAUCUAUGACCUAUUGUUUGCGAGUGUGCACCGCAAGGUGCCACUAGUAACACUGGUCACUAUUGGUCCGACCCUGUGUGACAUUGAUUUGUGGCGCAGGGACAAGGCCAUCUUUUACUGUGAGGAAAUUAGAGUGUUCAAAGCAGGCAGUUAUUGCCAGUGAAUAUGUUAGCAUGGAAUAAUAUGAUACGAUUUUGUUUCAAUUUUAUUGGUUUGUGUUGCAAAAUAAUGAUUGACAGGGACAAUUGGGGGUAUUUGUAUUUCGAAGUCAGAGGUGAAAUUCUUGGAUUUUCGGAAGACAAACUACUGCGAAAGCAUCGACCAGGGAUGUUUUCUUUAAUCAAGAACGAAAGUUAGGGGAUCGAACAUG
rnacentral:rRNA from 1 species